AGUGAACGCUGGCGGUAGGCCUAACACAUGCAAGUCGAACGGCAGCACAGUAAGAGCUUGCUCUUACGGGUGGCGAGUGGCGGACGGGUGGGGAAUACAUCGGAAUCUACUUUUUCGUGGGGGAUAACGUAGGGAAAAUUACGCUAAUACCGCAUACGACCUACGGGUGAAAGCAGGGGAUCUUUGGACCUUGCGCGAUUGAAUGAGCCGAUGUCGGAUUAGCUAGUUGGCGGGGUAAAGGCCCACCAAGGCGACGAUCCGUAGCUGGUCUGAGAGGAUGAUCAGCCACACUGGAACUGAGACACGGUCCAGACUCCUACGGGAGGCAGCAGUGGGGAAUAUUGGACAAUGGGCGCAAGCCUGAUCCAGCCAUACCGCGUGGGUGAAGAAGGCCUUCGGGUUGUAAAGCCCUUUUGUUGGGAAAGAAAAGCAGCAGGUUAAUACCCCGCUGUUCUGACGGUACCCAAAGAAUAAGCACCGGCUAACUUCGUG
rnacentral:rRNA from 1 species